rnacentral:rRNA from 1 species
GAUGAACGCUGGCGGCGUGCCUAAUACAUGCAAGUCGAGCGAACGGACGAGAAGCUUGCUUCUCUGAUGUUAGCGGCGGACGGGAGAGUAAAACGUGGAUAACCUACCUAUAAGACUGGGAUAACUUCGGGAAACCGGUGCUAAUAACGGAUAAUAGUUUGAACCGCAUGGUUCAAAAGUGAAAGACGGUCUUGCUGGCACUUAUAGAUGGAUCCGCGCUGCAUUAGCUAGUUGGUAAGGUAACGGCUUACCAAGGCAACGAUGCAUAGCCGACCUGAGAGGGUGAACCGCCCCACUGGGACUGAGACGCGGUCCAGACUCCUACGGGAGGCAGAGGCAGCGACUCUUGGGCGCUGGGCGAAAGACUGAAGGAGCAACGCAGGGUGAGUGCUGAAGGGCUGCGGAUGGUAUGACUCUGUUCGUAGGGAAGACCACAUGUAGAAGUAACUGUGCACAUCGUGACGGUACCUACUCAGAAAGCAACGGCUAACUACGUG